GACGAACGCUGGCGGCGUGCCUAAUACAUGCAAGUCGAACGCAGAGGGGACGGGAGAGCAACACGUGGGUAACCUCCCAUCAGAGGGGAUAACACUUGGAAACAGGAGAUAAACCGAUACUGAUGGCUGGACCCGCGGUGCAUGAGCUAGUUGGUGAGGUAACGGCUCACCAAGGCCACGAUGCAGAGGCGACUUGGUGGGGUGAUCAGCCACACGGGGACGGUGACACGGACAAGAGUCCUAGGGGAGUAAGCGGUAGGGAAGCGUCGGAAAUGGACGAAAGGCUGACCGAGUAACGCAGCGUGAGUGAGGAAGGUUUGCGGAUCUGAAAACUCUGUUGCUAGAGAAGCGGUAUCUAACCAGAAAGCCACGGCUAACUACGUGCCAGCAGCCGCGGUAAUAC
rnacentral:rRNA from 1 species